UUCCCUCCUCGCAGUGGAAUUGCUCAUUCUCAUGAGAAUUUAUUAAUAAAUAACUUUUCUGCUUUCUACUGAGUGAUCUCUGAGUAGAAAUUUUGGGUAAGGGUCUUUUAUAUCCCUCACAGUUGGGGCUCAUCUGGGAUGGAAUCUUUAGGGGAGUGGUUAUGUACACCCCAAACAGGGACAGGUGCCCAUGGAGUAGUUUUUUCCAUGGUCUCUGACUCUGGGUGAGCAGCCUCCCUCCCCUCUUAGACAAUGACCCGAGGCAAGGAUACUCAGUGGAAAGCAGAAUUGAAGAUUGACGGAAGUGGAGUCCUGAUGGCUGGCGGCAGUCUGAAAAGAAACAUGUGUUCUCAAGAUUUUGGUCACAUUACAGCUAUAUUGACCUGCUUUUGUGACCUGGAUCGGCCCAUCUGAAGCUUAGAUUGACACCACACCCACAUCCCUGCAUGGAUUGAGAGCCUUUGCCUGUUUCUCAGCCCAAAGCAGCUAAGAUUGAGGCCAUCGCCCAUACUCCUGAUAUAAUUUGGACUGAUAUGGGGGAAGUGGGAAAGUGGUUGAUGAAUUAUUGUUAAAAUUACAACUGUAUUACUGUGUGUUUAAGAUUUGGGAUGGAAAUUGUUAAAAUUGGUAACUGUUGCUGUUAAGGAAAUUAUAAUAUGUUUGUAAUAUCUAUGUAUGUUCACUUCAGAAUAUGUAAUUGUUUGAGAGAUUUUUUUUGAGGAAACUCCUCCUGUACUAGUCUGUUAUGUAUAGGAACUUUAAUUCACUCUUGAGAUUUAUAUGUGGGAUGGUUAUUUGACUAUUUACUUUUUUUUUGGAUGAUUCCUUUCCAUGAGAAAAAAAAAAAAAAAGGAGAGGAAGAGAUAAAGGGAAACUGGUGGAUUUUUCUCAAAAUACCUAAAAGAGUAGGAACUCUUAGUUUUCUGUUCACUUUGCCUUAGAUACUUCUGCCCCAUCCCCUAUCUCACCAGUUCAGAUUGAAUUGGAAGUCCUUAAUCAGUCCUUUUUUUUUUUUUUUUUUUUUUUUUUUAACUAUACUUUAGCUUUGAAACCCUCAUUCUGUGGAAUUGCCCUGGCAGACUCGGUUUUGGGGACUAUUUUGCUUUUAGGAAAUCUCCAAGAUAUAUACACCUGUCUUGGGACAGGCAGUCUCCAACCCUGUAACCCCAGUUUCUCAAUUGGCAUCUCAGCAUUUUUAAUAACAUUGCAGUUUUGAGAUCAAUCAUUUAAAGUUCAGGAUUUGCCUGCCUUGAUGGUCUAACUGUGCAUGCUCUGAUAGCUCUGCUCAGAAAUCUGUAUUCUAGUAGCAACCCUGUCUGUCCCUCUGGGUGGGGACAGGUGGAGCUACUCCAAAAGCCCCACCCUUCUCCUCUGGAGUGGGGUGCCCCUCUGAAUGGACAGCAUGACUGUCUCGAGCCCUGCUACUCCCUAUAUACUCUCUAUAGAAGCUGAAUUAAGUGCACAAAUGACUGAAGACCACCUAACACAGUAAACUGUCCAUUUCAAAUUGAAUUCUCUGUCUGAGAUGAGGGUCUUUGUACUGCUGAUAACUCUGGGGUUGUCAGCAAGAGGCUUGCCCUUGCCAUAAGUCCUUGCAUUUUCUAGUUUUAUUUUGAUUUAUUUGUGUCACAUUUGGGUUGACCAAAAUUAUGGUGCUGAGAUCUCCCAAGUAUUUAGGGGAGGUAAUUCAAUAAUUCAAAUAUUCAGGAGAGUGUGCAAUUUUGUGCCUCAGUUUUCUUAGACUGGCAUCUUUGUUAAUUUAUCUUUAUACUUUUGUCUGCCAAAUGCCAAUCUGUUCUAUGAUAACUGUUUCUAAGAUAGUUGGUGGAAGCAAUUGUUAUGAUAUGAACUUAUUGCAAUCAGUGGUAUUAUCCUGUUGCCACUAUGUCUACCCUGUAUAAUUACAUUAGUAAUCAGAAUAGUUCAAUGGUCCCUAUCAAAAUAUUGCAUACAGAAAAUGCUAUUAAAAUGAUAAUUCUUCAGAGAAAAGGCUGGAAUAUAUUAGAAAGGGAUGAUCUUGAGGGUGAAUUUGAUAAGCAAUGUAUAGAUAUGAUAACUGAUUUUGAGUAGUAUAUAAGUUCUUCAUAGAAAUAUGAUAAAAAUCAUUUUUGUAUUAGAAGGGGGAAGUUGUGUGAAAUGGAGAGAUAAAGUGAAGAACUUACAGGAAUGUUUAAAUUCUUUUUCUGUAUUUUUUAUUAUUUCUAUGUCUCUGUGACCUGCAUAAGUACGGUGUGUACAAGCCAAUAUUUACUUAAAACUUUAGAUAUAUUUACUUAACCAGAAAUGAUGACAUUUAUCCUUGUUUAAUGUUAUUUUGAUUAUUAAAUGCUGUCUGUUCAGUAAUCUGAAGUUUGAAGGUCUGACUGAUGAUUCCUCUCAGAAUCAAGGAAACGAAGCGUUCUGUUCUAAUCUGCCUUUGGCACCAAUGUUUAACAUUCAAUUAGGGGAGAAGGCACCUAUUUCUCAAUGCUCUCUAUGAUUGUUAUCCUUUAUAACCAAACCUAUAAAAACUGUAUAUCUUUCCUAAAUCUGUAGCCCUUCUACUGCAAGUUUUCUCUCUUUCCCUCCUCGCAGUGGAAUUGCUCAUUCUCAUGAAAAUUUAUUAAUAAAUAACUUUUCUGAUUUUUA